rnacentral:rRNA from 1 species
GACGAACGCUGGCGGCGUGCUUAACACAUGCAAGUCGAACGGAAAGGCCCUGCUUUUGUGGGGUGCUCGAGUGGCGAACGGGUGAGUAACACGUGAGUAACCUGCCCUUGACUUUGGGAUAACUUCAGGAAACUGGGGCUAAUACCGGAUAGGAGCUCCUGCUGCAUGGUGGGGGUUGGAAAGUUUCGGCGGUUGGGGAUGGACUCGCGGCUUAUCAGCUUGUUGGUGGGGUAGUGGCUUACCAAGGCUUUGACGGGUAGCCGGCCUGAGAGGGUGACCGGCGACAUGGGGACUGAGAGACGGCGCAGACUCCUACGGGAGGCAGCAGUGGGGAAUAUUGCAGAAUGGGCGGAAGCCUGAUGCAGCAACGCCGCGUGCGGGAUGACGGCCUUCGGGUUGUAAACCGCUUUCGCCUGUGACGAAGCGGGAGUGACGGUAAUGGGUAAAGAAGCACCGGCUAACUACGUG